rnacentral:rRNA from 1 species
UACGUAGGUGGCAAGCGUUAUCCGGAUUUACUGGGUGUAAAGGGAGCGCAGGCGGCACGGCAAGCCUGAUGUGAAAGCCCGCGGCCCAACCGCGGGACUGCAUUGGGAACUACCGGGCUGGAGUGCCGGAGAGGUAGGCGGAAUUCCUAGUGUAGCGGUGAAAUGCGUAGAUAUUAGGAGGAACACCAGUGGCGAAGGCGGCCUACUGGACGGUGACUGACACUGAGGCUCGAAAGCGUGGGGAGCAAACAGG